rnacentral:rRNA from 1 species
AUUGAACGCUGGCGGCAGGCCUAACACAUGCAAGUCGAACGAGUGGCGGACGGGUGAGUAAUGUAUGGGAAACUGCCCGAUGGAGGGGGAUAACUACUGGAAACGGUAGCUAAUACCGCAUACCAUCGGAUGUGCCCAGAUGGGAUUAGCUAGGAGGUGGGGUAAUGGCUCACCUAUGCGACGAUCCCUAGCUGGUCUGAGAGGAUGACCGGCCACACUGGAACUGAGCCACGGUCCAGACUCCUACGGGAGGCAGCAGUGGGGAAUAUUGCACAAUGGGCGCAAGCCUGAUGCAGCCAUGCCGCGUGUAUGAAGAAGGCCGUCGGGUUGUAAAGUACUUUCAGCGGAGAGGCGUUACCCGCAGAAGACGCACCGGCUAACUCCGUGCCAGCAGCCGCGGUACUUC